GACAGAGGCCCCGAGCGUUAGGCGGAAUCACUGGGCUUAAAGCGUGUGUAGGCAGAUCGUUAAGUGUCUUGUGAAAUCCCACGGCUCACCCGUGGAACUGCUGGGCAUACUGGCGAUCUUGGGCCAUUCAGGGGCGACUGGAACAAGCGGUGGAGCGGUGAAAUGCGUAGAUAUCGCUUGGAACGCCGAAGGUGAAAACAGGUCGCUGGGGAUGUGCCGACGCUGAGACACGAAAGCCAGGGGAGCAAACGGG
rnacentral:rRNA from 1 species